rnacentral:tRNA from 1 species
GGAGAGGUGGCUGAGUGGUUAAAAGCAUCCUCCUGCUAAGAGGAAGCGGGUAGUUAAUGCCCGUCGCAGGUUCAAAUCCUGUCCUCUCCGCC